CUCCAUCAGCAGCUUGAAGAAAUAGAUCAACUUUGUUCGGCUCCAAUGUCAAUUUUUCUACCUUGGAUAAUUGAGAGUACUGCCUCUCAAAUUUCCUUAGUAGCUCUGUUGCUUGCAAAUUCUUAUUGGGCCGUUCAAUCCAUCCCAGAAACAGCUUCUUAGUAACGCGAUCAGCAUCUUCCAAGAAAUAUUCGUCUUUCAAUGCAUGUGAAAAAUCCUCCCAUGAAUUCCCACAACGAUCUGUAAUUGAUGUAAUGUGGUCCCUUAUCUCCGGUAUCGUGGCAAGUCCAAAUAGUGCAACCAUUUUCUUCUCAGAAACCCGAUUUAAUUCCAUUUCACGAACAUAACAUCUUAAAUACCUUGAAAUAUUCCUCCCAUCAAAUUGAUCAAUUUUAUUGACCAUUGCUUGCAAUGCUUUGGUUGCCAAAGCUUCCUUUCGAUCAUUGCUUUGCUGUUGCUGCAUUGACAAUGAGAAGGCUUGAAACAAACUAGCAAUAGACGGAUCCAUGUGCAUACCUUGUCCUUUAGAAGACUCCCCACCAGAAACUUCUCCCAAAAAUCCUUCAAAAUUUUUAUUUUCGUUUUCCAUAAAAAUAAAGAUAAAAUCAACCGAAAUCCAAUACCUUCCACCUCAAGCUUUCACGUCGGGUUCACCACUUAUGUCGUAUUACGUGCUUUCCUGCUCUAGAACGCGCCGAGCGUCUGGCUGUAGAAGGUAGUAUGGAGAUUCACCGAUAGUCAAGCAGUCUAUCAAUUUUUGACUGCUGGAAUAUAAACGACUGCAAUAAUGUACCAUAAAUCUAUACGGAUGCUCUUCGACUGCUUGUCGAAGUCUUUUUUUUGCCCCAGCCGAUAGGUCUCUAGACGUUACAGAGAACCCCGAACAACCCAAACUGUUAAUCUUCAAUACCCCUUUGUACUUACGAUCUUGUAUCCACUGACUGUCCUGUUAGAUUAACCCAAUAAAUUUCAUUCACUCCGCAUACUCAAUCCUAUAGGCACCCCUUUAAUCCUUCAAUCACAGACGUAACUCGAUUUUACAAAAUAGUCAAGAGUAUUCAAACCCACUUCAUUUAAAAAUCCCGAUUCACCAUUACAACACUGACUUUAGCAGCGAUUGCCUCAGUCUUCCCAAAACUCUAUGAAGAAGAAAAAUCCAAAUUCUAUGUCUUUCCUUCCCCGACCUGAAGCAUGAAGCUCCUCUCUCUCUAAUUCCCUUGAUCUUCAAAAAACCUCCAAUGAAAACCGAACUGGUAACCUUGCAAAAGCUUGAAAACUAGCUCCCCCCGCGAUUCCCCGAAAAGAAAAAAAAAAAAACCUCCCUUCCCUAAAACUAUAUUCUCUCCUAACCUUAUCCUCUGAACUUCUUCAAUCUUCCAUCUUAAAUCCGGAAUUGGCUCCCGCCAUCAGAGCUUAGAUCCGAAAUUGGCUCACGUCAUCAAGGCCUUCUCCUUGGUUUUUUCCUUUAAGAGAUCCAUUUACCGUAAACAACGUUCCUUGAAACGGCACAGAGAACAGGACAGCCCGAAACAGAAUCAAAACCCCGUAAUCGGGACCACAUUGAAUCGCCCGACCAAUUCAGGUCCCAUAUUGGGUAAGAUGCUCGUAGUAACCUGGAUGCUCGCGUAAUUGGGUCAAAUUGAUCUUCGUGUCAGACUGGCUGAGGCCCGUAGUAAGACCUGGAUUUUCCCGUAACUAGACUGCAUUGGGUUGCCCCACCAAUACAGGUCUCAUAUUGGGUAAGAGGACCCGGAUUGGAUUCUCGAAAUUGGAUCCAAUUAGCUCUUCAAACCCGUCGUGUGAAUUGGUCCUUCUCAUCCUGCUAACUCCCGUUAUUAGAAUCGAAUGGAGCAUUUCAGUAUGCCCCGGCUGACUGUAACGGGGUGACUGAACCUGACCACUCAGUAUUUGCACUGGAGUUGGUCGAUGCUCCCAAUAUUCGAGGUAACUGAAUAUUAAUAAAAUUCCCCUUUCUUUUUAUUUUCAUUGUAUACUCGUGUUACAACACGACACCAUCUUCUAAAUUGAUAAUGUUCUUAGUAUUUUUUUUGUCUUCAAGUCCUUUUUUCUACUUAUCUUGAAUAAUAUUAGAUUUUUUCUAAGUAUUAUUAUGGCACAACUUGUUGAAAUGAAGAGUGUAAUGGCACAAAUGUAAGAACAAUUGAGGGAGUUGAUGCUUGUGAUGCAUCAACUUAACUUACCACCACAAGGAUCAAGAAGAAUGAUAGUAAGUGGGGAUAAAAAGAUGAUUAGAGCUGCUUCAACAUCUGCACCAAAUCAUAUCCCUCUAUCCAUAAUGGAACAUCCUUCAAGUGUUAAAGAACCAAGAUUUUCCCUGCUUCAGAAGUUUGAUGGUACAAGAUCCAAAUUUUGAGGAUUUAUCAAUUAAGUACAACUUAUUAUUGAACUUCAUUCUCAAAGUUAUCCAAUUCCAAGAUCACAAGUUAGAUUCAUAAGUACAAUUCUUUCACGUUCAACACUAUCAUAGUUUUUAUCUUUUCUGGAAUGACAAGAUCCAAUAUUGGAUAACAUAGAGGCAUUUUUGGCAAAAUUUUGGUCUAUGUAUGGGGAACAUGAUGCAACUUGUGUUGUAACCAAGAAGAUCCAUAUUUUGCAAUAAGAAAAUCAAUCUGUAAUAUUAUAUAUUUUAUAAUUUUAACAACUUGUAAUUGAUAUCAAGUAAAAUGAUACUUCACUUAUUAGCCAAUUUUUCUAUGGAUUAUAAUAUGAAAUAAAGAAAUUGAUGGUCAACUUACUUAAUCCUCAAACAUUGAAUCAAGCAACUGACUUUGCUAUUAAGUGCAACAAUCAACUUUUUGAAUUUUGAUUUAAGAGUCGUACAAGUGGGCCCCAAUGUUAUUACAAUUUGAUGGCAACACUAACGUCUUCUCAACACAUACAUUCGAAAGUAGAGGAUAUGCAAAUUGAUGCAAUACAUUUUAAACCUCUUAUCAAGCAAGAAAAUACUCGUUGCCAUCAAGAAAGAUUAUGCUUAUAUUAUGAAGAAUCUAAACAUAUUGCUCAACAUUGUCCAAAGAAGUGACAAAACCACAAAAUGAGGAGCACAGCUGCCAAAGAAGAUAUUGUAUCAAAAAACAAAUUUGUCCAGCUAUAAUAGAAAUUGUGCAACUAUAAUCUUGUACAAUUUGUAAUGAAGGUCCUAUCCUGUCCUCAAAACCUUCUCUUUCUUUUAUAAUAGAUAUGAAUUUAAGACCUAAUAAUUAUAAAGCCUUUGCUUUGAUAGAUUCAUGAGCCUUAACUUAUUUCUUAGACGUAAAAAUUGUUAAAAGUCAUAAAAUACCAUUGGUACAAAAAACUAAAUAUAUUCAUGUAGAAGUCAUAGAUGGUCAACUUUUGUCUUUUGGAAAUGUUAUUCAUAAAAUACUUCCUAUAGAUGUAGUAAUAAAUGGUCAUAGUAAUUGCAUAAUCUUUAAUAUAAUUAGAUCUCCUUUUAAUCCAGUUAUUUUAGGUUUAUCAUGGUUAGAAAAAUAUAAUCCUUGCAUAGAUUGGAUUUUUCGUACUCUUGGCUUGUCUAAAAAUAUAACUAAGAGUGAAAUUAAUCCAGUAGAAAGUCAUAAGUCUAGCACAAUAAAACUUGUGUUUGUAGGUGCGAGAGCUUUCUUGUAUGCUACCAAAGAAGGAUUACCUUGUGCCAUUUAUCCCACACCUAUUUUUAAUAAUCCAAAGACUUCAAGUGGCAUUCCAAGCCAAUAUCAAGAAUUUCAAGAUAUAUUCAAGAAAAAGAAUGCAGAUACUCUUCUAGAACAUUGUUCCAUCAACUAUUCAAUUGAGUACAAUUGCCAUUUGGACCAAUCUAUAGUUUAUCACAAAAUGAAUUAGCUAAACUCAAGGAAUAUAUUAAAGAAAAUUUAGCCAAAAAUUUCAUAUGCCAUUCCAAAUUGUCAAUAGGAGCUCCAAUCUUAUUUGUGAAGAAGAAUGAUGGAUCAUUAUGGAUGUGUGUUGAUUAUCGAAGAUUCAAUAAGAUCACCAUCAAGAAUAGGUACCUUCUACCUUUGAUAUUUAGACUUCUCAAUCAAUUGAAUGAAGCUAAGAUCUACACAAAAAUAGAUCUAUGAAGAGCAUACAAUCUAGUACAUAUUAAAAAAGGAGAUGAAUGGAAGACUGUAUUUUGAAUUAGGUAUGGAUAUUUUGAAUACAACAUCAUGCCUUUUGGACUUACAAAUGCACCAACAGCUUUUUAACAUCUAAUGAAUGAUAUUUUUUGAGAGUUUUUGGAUGAUUUUUUUGUCUAUUAUCUAAACAAUAUCUUGAUCUAUUUUAAGAACAUAUAUGAAUAUGAACUUCAUAUUCGUCAUGUAUUACAAAAAUUAAGAGUUGUGGGACUAUAUGCCAAGAUAGAAAAGUGUGUAUUCCACACUAUUCAAGUCGACUUCUUAGAAUAUAUCAUUUCAACGGAUGGACUUAUAAUGGAUCGUAAUAAAGUUUAAAUUACUAUAGAUUGGAAGAUUUUAAAAAUGAUUAGACAUGUUAAAUGCUUUUUGAGCUUUGUUAACUAUUAUCGAAUCUUCAUCAAAGACUUUUCUCAAAUUAUAGCCCUACUUACACAUUUGACUUUCAAAGACAAACUUGAGUGGAACAUAGAAGCUCAAGCAUCUUUUGAAGCUUUGAAAUAAGAUUUUAUUUCUGUAGAAAUUUUGUAUUGUAUCGAUUUUUUUAAGGCAUUUUUUAUGGAAAUAGAUGCAUUAGACUUUAUUUUGGAUGUCGUAUUAUCACAAAUGGGAAUAAAUGAUAAACUUCACCUAAUAGCUUUUCAUUCUAGAAAAUUUUCAACAGUCGAGAUUAACUAUGAAAUCCACAACAAAGAACUUCUUGCAAUCAUAGAUUCAUUUUAAGAAUGGCAUCAUCAUCUAGAAAGGGCUUUCAAUCCAAUCACCGCAUAUACAAACUACAAGAAUCUCAAAUAUUUCAUGUCAAUACAUGUUUUGAAUCAUUGCCAAGCCCGUUGGAGCAUGUCUUUAUCAAGAUUUGAUUUCAAGAUUAUAUAUCAAUCUAGAAAAUAAUAAGGUUUGUUAAACGCCCUUUUUAAACAUUUUUAUCUUAUACCAAAAGAAAGAGAUACAUCUUUUGAUAAGAAAAAAAAUGAUUUUCUUGAAACCAAAGCAUUUUCAUCUUUGAGUAAUGAAAUCAACAUUAAUUGUUGAUUCCACCCUUAUAAAACAAAUCCAAUCAAGUAUGUCUUAAAAUCCUCUUAUUCACAAUAUCAAGAAUCCUUCUUUUAAGUUCCAAGAUACUUCUUAGUUUGAGUUCAAAAAUAACCUACUCUAUUUUGAAGGUCAAUUAUAUGUUUCAAAAGGAAAAACACGAUUACGUGUUCUUCAAGCAUAUCACGACUUUUCAGCAGCAAGAUAUUUUGGAUACAACAAGACUUUAGAGCUUAUAUCUAGAGAUUUUUGGUGGCCACAAAUGUGGAAGGGUGUGAAAGACUUUGUUGAGUCAUGCGACAUUUGUUCAAGAUCAAAAACUCCCCGUCAUCGACUUUAUGGACUAUUUCAACCAUUAUCCAUUUCAAAACAACCAUGGUCUUUUGUUUCUAUGAAUUUCAUCACGGUGUGUUAGGGACAUAUUCCUUAGAACUUUCUAGAGAGAAGUUUCUAGAACCUUCUAGAAAACAAGCCUCUGGAACCUUCUAGAAGAGAAGCCUCUGGAACCUUUUAGAGAGAAGUUUCUAGAAGCUUCUAGAAAGGAAGUCUCUGGAACCUUCUAGAAGAGAAGUUUCUAGAAGCUUCUAGAAAGGAAUCCCUUGGAACUUUCUAGAAGCUUCCUAGUUAAUAGAAGUAGCUCGAGAAGUUUCUAAAACCUUCUAGAAAGGAAGCCUCUGGAACCUUCUAGAAGCUUCCUAGUUAAUAGAAGUAGCUCGAGAAGCUUCCUAAGGAGGAGUAUAUAUAGGGAUCGAGGCUGAAGAGUUCUUCAGUCUCGACAACACAUCUCUUGGAGUUCUAGCUCACCUUUCUGGUGUUGUUCUUGUACUCAUCUGUUUAAUCUAGUUCUGCCAUUUCUUCUUGAACUUCUUGUUAGAUUUCAAGUUUGUAUUUUGUGUCCAUGACAGUUUGUCGAGACUAUACUAACUUGAGAUAUUAGAGCUAGUUCUUUCUUAGUAGAGUGUGGAUUACCCCUCUACUUGAAGGUAUACUAGCAUUUUUUAGAGGUUGCGGAUUACCCUCCUCUAAACUGAUACUUCUUCUGUUACAAUAUUAGAGUCUUAUUCUUCUUGGAGAAAGUGAAUUACCCCUCUUCUUGAAAUUCUUAAGGCGUUUUAUAGGUUGUGGAUUAUUCUCCUAUAAACCAAUAUUGCCUCUUAUAGGGUCAUUUUUGUCCUUCUUUUAGAAUGGCCGGAGGUCAAGACAUUAGUAUGACAGAAAGUUCGGAGUCUAAGUUAGAUGCUAUUAUGAAUGCCCUCGCUACGUUAUCACAAAGAACUGCAGAGAUUGAAGGAGUGGUGGCAAGGCUUCAUAAUGAUGGAGUAUCUGGGAUAGCACAAUCUAAACUACACCAGCCUCAAAUUUCGGCACUUGGAGAAACAACUUUACCUCAGGUUCGACAAGAACCACUAGUUCUAUAACAUAAAGAGCCUCGAGUUAGCCUUCCAGAUAAGUUUGAUGGAACACGUUCCAAGUUUCGAGGAUUCCUCAAUCAAAUCAGGUUGAUAACAGUUUUACAGCCCGAACGAUAUCCAACGGAGGAGUCACGUGUUGGGCUUGUUGGAACCUUACUUACGGGACAAGCUCUAUCAUGGUUUGCUCCUUUGUUUGAGAAACGAUCAUCCAUAUUAAACAACUUCGAAACCUUUUUGGAAGCAUUUGCGGAAGCAUUUGGUGAACACGAUAAGGUUCGAUGGGCUACAACAAAGAUCCGGUCGCUACGAUAGGGGAUGCGUUCUACAUCAGUCUAUGCUUCGGAUUUCAGGCAAUUAGUAUGCGACAUCAAUUGAGAUGAAAAAGCGUUGAUGAGUCAAUUCUAUUGGGAUUUAAGAGAUGAUGUGAAGGAUUUGCUGUUAACUCUUCCUGAUCCACGAACGCUCAAUGAAGCCAUUAGCCAAGCUGUGAAGUGCGAUAAUCACCUAUUCCAACAUCGCCAAGACCAACGCUCAAGACAACAUACAAUUCGCCAUGCUCCAACUAUGUCAGCAAGCAGUGUGAAUUCGCAUUCAGAGGUGGAAGACAUGCAAAUUGAUGCGGUACGUAUCAAAUCUCUUACUAUAGAAGAAAAAAAGUGACGUAUGGAGGAAAAUUUAUGCUUGUAUUGCGGUGGAGAAGGCCACAAAGUUGGAAACUGCCCCAAAAAGCAAAAUCGAGGCAUAGUCAAGACUAGGAGAGUAUUUGUUGAGGAAAACGAGGAUGCCCAGCCACAGUAGGAACCGUGCGGCUGGACAAUGAAAUAUCCCAACAACAAUCAGGUUCCUUUCUUUCUGCCCAACCUGCACUUUGUUUUACAAUCCUUCUGUUUAUCGGCCCUCAAAAACUGAGAACCUUAGCACUACUAGACUCAGGAGCAUCUGCUUGUUUUUUAGACAAAGAAUUUGUAAAGCGUCAUAACAUCCCUUUAGUACAAAAAUCAAAACCUGUUCAUGUUGAGGUCAUAGAUAGGCGACCUUUAUUGUCUGGUAGCAUCACCCAUGAAUCAAAACCUAUAGAAGUAACGUUUAAAGACCAUAGUAGUCAUAUUAUUUUUAAUAUUAUUAGAACCCCAUCAAAUCCUAUUAUUCUUGGUCUUUCUUGGUUGGAAAAACAUAAUCCAUUGAUAGAUUGGAGGUUGCGGAAGAUGACUUUUCCCACAAAACCACCCAAGAAAAAACCUAGUAAAAAACCUCGAAAAAAGAAAUCCUUAUUCAUUGGAGCAAGAGCGUUAAUAAGAUCAUCUAAGGAAGGCACUCCAUUUGUCAUUUAUGCGGCUCCAACUACCGAGGAGAAGAUCUUAACAGCAAGUAUACCGGAGCAAUAUAAAGAUUUUGAAGACGUGUUUCAAAAGAAGAACGCCAACAUACUACCGGAACACCGACCAUAUGAUUGUGCCAUAGACUUGCAAGAAGGAGCACAACCACCUUUUGGCCCAAUCUACAAUCUAUCGCAAACGGAGUUGGCAGAGUUACAAAAGUACAUCGAUGAGAAUCUAGCCAAGAACUUCAUUCCUCAUUCAAAAUCAUCAACUGGAGCACCCAUCUUAUUUGUGAAGAAGAAAGAUGGAUCAUUACGGAUGUGUGUGGACUAUCGAGGCCUCAACAAGAUAACAAAGAAGAAUCGUUACCCAUUACCUUUGAUUUCUAGUCUCUUAGAACAACUUGGACGUGCGAAGAUCUUUACAAAAAUUGAUCUAAGGGGAGCUUAUAAUCUCGUACAAAUCAAAGAAAGAGAUGAGUGGAAGACAGCAUUCUGUACAAGGUAUGGUCAUUUCGAAUAUAAUGUCAUGCCUUUUGGUCUUACCAAUGCUCUAGCGGUUUUCCAACAUAUGAUGAAUGACAUCUUUCGAGAACACCUCGACGAUUUUGUUGUCAUCUACUUAGACGAUAUUCUAAUAUUCUCUAAAAACGAGGAAGAGCAUGAGGAGCAUGUUCGUUUGGUCUUGGAGAAACUACACAAGCGAGGACUAUAUGCCAAAUUAGAAAAGUGUUUAUUUCACCAGACGGAGAUGGAAUUUUUGGGGUUCAUUGCGACUACAGAAGGUUUGAAGAUGGACCCCAAGAAAGUAGAAGCAAUCAUGUCUUGGGAGGUUCCGAAGACGGUUAGAGACGUACAAUGCUUUCUUGGUUUUGCUAACUUCUAUCGGAUCUUCAUCAAGAAUUAUUCUCAAGUUGCUGCUCCUCUCACUCGAUUAACAUGCAAAGAUAAGUUGGAAUGGGAACCUUUGGAGGAGAAGGCGUUUCAAGAUUUGAAGACAGCAUUUACUACAGCUCCAAUUUUGAUACAUCCAGACUUUACAAAGGCCUUCUAUUUAGAAACUGAUGCUUCAGAUUUUGCUUUGGGAGCUGUGCUUUCACAAAUGAGUGAAGAUAAGAAGCUCCAUCCAGUUGCAUUCUAUUCUCGGAAGUUCUCUGCUGCUGAAAUCAAUUAUGAGAUCCACGAUAAGGAACUUCUUGUUAUAGUGGAUUCUUUCGAAGAAUGGCGUAACUUUCUUGAAAGAGCUGCACAUCUAGUAACCAUAUAUAUGGAUCACAAGAAUUUGGAGUAUUUCAUGACGGCUCGAGUUUUAAAUCGGCGUCAAGCUCGGUGGAAUAUGUCGCUAUCUAGAUUCGAUUUUGUUAUCACUUAUCGACUUGGAAGGCAGCAAGGACUAUCCGAUGCUUUAUCACGGAGAUCGUAUCUUGCACCAAAGGCUGGAGAAGCAGCGUUUGAUCAACAAUGUACAACGUUAUUGAAGCCAGAGAGAUUUCAACUUUGUGCUACUAUUGUAUCAUUUGAUGCUGACUUCCUAAACCAGGUACGUGCUAUGACCAUUUAAGAUUCAGUAGCCAUUGAUAUCAAGCAAUGUACCAAUGACGACAAGUUCAAGGUGGAGGGAGAUCUUUUAUACUUUGAAGAGGGAUUGUACAUUCCAAAAGGACUAGCACGACUCCGAGUUCUUCAAUCUCGCCAUGAUUUUCCAACUGCGGGACAUUUUGGAUUCAAUAAGACCUUGGAGCUUAUUUCCCAAGAUUUUUGGUGGCCCCAAAUGUGGAAGGAUGUGAAAGAUUUUGUUCUCUCUUGUGACAUCUGUUCAAGAUCUAAGAAUCCUCGACAUCGCCUUUAUGGACUUCUACAACCAUUGCCAAUUUCACGUCGACCAUGGUCUUCAAUUUCUAUGGACUUCAUCACGGACUUGCCAUCAUCAAACUCAUUUGACAGCAUCUUUGUCGUGGUAGAUCGGCUUACAAAGAUGGCACACUUUGUUCCUUGUAAGAAGACAUCGUCCAAUGAAGUCACAACAAGACUCUUUCUCAAUAAUGUGUAUCGAUAUCAUCGACUACCAGAUGAUAUCAUAUCAGAUCGAGGUACCCAGUUCGUGUCAAAGUUUUGGAGAUCUCUCUUUGGGAUAUUGAAGGUGGAUAUCAAGCUUUCUUCAGCUUUUCAUCCUCAAACUGAUGGCCAAACGGAACGGGUGAAACAAGUCUUGGAGCAGUACUUACGAUGCAGUAUCAACUAUCAGCAAGACGAUUGGACUGCAUAUCUACCGCUAGCCGAGUUUGCAUAUAACAACACCAUCAUGCGUCGACUCAACAAACACCAUUCUUUUCCAACUAUGGGUAUCAUCCGAAGCUUGAUUUAUUGAGUCCGUCAACAAAUAACAAUCUAGCAGCUGAAGGAUUUGCGAAGCAACUAUCAGAGCUUCAAACUAUGUUGAAGCUUCAAUUACAAUCCGAUCAAGAAUCCUAUAAGAUGUCUGCAGAUAGAUUUCGGAAUCCAGCACCUACUUUCAAAGUUGGAGACAAAGCCUGGCUUCUUCGACGAAAUAUCAAGACCAAGCGACCAUGUGAUAAGUUGGACUAUCAAAGAUUGGGACCAUUUAUCAUCCAAAAGUAAAUUAAUCCAGUGGCAUACCGGCUGGAGUUACCAGCUUCUAUGAAGGUACAUCCAGUCUUUCAUGUUUCUCUGUUGGAACCUUAUCGAGAGUCAUCUUUUCUUGGAAGAGUGCAAUGUCCGCCACCUAGUAUUGAAAUCGAGAACCACGAAGAAUACGAUGUUGAAAAGGUAUUGGAUUCACGGCAAAGAUGGAAAAAGUUAGAAUAUCUUGUUCAUUGGUGCGGCUAUGACAUUAAUGAGCGAACGUGGGAGCCAGCUGAAAAUCUUGCGAAUGCGCCACAAAAGGUACAGGAGUUUCAUCAAUGACAUCCCGAUAAACCUAAAUCAAUUAGAUGAUAGCUUCUUUCUGAAGCUUGUUCUCCCAACAAUAUAACAAAAGGGGAGAGCACCAGCAAAAUUCAUAGUUGAUGUAGUUAUUUUCUCCAAGAUAGAUCGUAGUUUGGUCUUUUGAUAUGGAUAGCCAAGAGAUAGAUACUAUGCUAGUCAGAGUAUCGCAAUCGAGUAGCUCACGAAGGCGAUCCCGAGAUGAAGAACUACAUGUACCACGACAACGACGGAGGAUACCGAGUAACCGAUCACUGGUGAUUAUAUUUGAGAUCGAGCCUGCUUACGAUGGUCAACCAGAAGGCGUGUUUGCAGGACAAUUUCACAAUGAGGACACGGAAGUUCAUGCUUGGUCAGAAGUCGAAGGCGUGGGCCACUACCGUUGGCUUCAAGGGUCGAUGAACCACUUGCCUCGUGAACAACAGUUGGAGUUCAUAGCAGAAGUUAUGCGACAGAUCUUCAUUUUCUUGCGUUGGUACUGAACAACAACAUUGCUUCUCAGAGACCUCGAAGCUAAAGGAGGGGGUGAUGUUAGGGACAUAUUGUCACGGACACAAAAUACAGACUUGAAAUCUAACAAGAAGUUCAAGAAGAAGUGGCAGAACUAGAUUAAACAGAUGAGUACAAGAACAACACCAGAAAGGUGAGCUAGAACUCCAAGAGAUGUGUUGUCGAGACUGAAGAACCCUUCAGCCUCGACUCCUAUAUAUACUACUGAAUAGGAAGCUUCUCGAGCUACUUCUGCUAACUAGGACGCUUCUCCAACAACUUCUACUAAUUAGGAAACUUCUCGAGCAACUUCCUAAAAUCUAUCAGAAUAUUCUAGAACCUUCUAAGAAUAUUCUAGAACCUUCUAAGAGAAUCUUUAGGGAAUAUUCUAAGAAUCUUUUAGAACCUUCUAAAGGAAUCUUUAGAGAAUCUUUAGAGAAUAUUCUAGAAGAAUAUUCGAAGAUUCUUCCAAUGUAUGUCCAUGACAUCACCUCCUCUUCUAACUUCGAGGUCUCCGAGAAGCAAUGUUGUUAUCAGUCAAUACCAACGCAAGAAAAUGAAAAUCUGUCGCAUCACAUCCGCUAUGAAUUCCAAUUGUUGUUCGCGAGGCAAAUGAUUCAUCGGCCCUUGGAGCCAACGGUAGUGACCAACACCUUCAACCUCUGACCAAGCGUGGACUUCUGUGUCUUCAUUGUGAAACUGUCCUCCAAACACACCUUCUGGCUGACCGUCGUAGACAGGCUCGACCUCAAAUACAAUUACUAGCGAUCUGUUGCUCGGUAUCCUCCGACGUCGUCGUGGUGCAGGCGGUUCUUCAUCUCGCGGUCGUCUUCGUGAGCUAGUCGCUUGAGAUGACAUAACAAGUGUAGUAUCUUUACUAUCCAUGUCCAAAGGCUAAAAUGAUGAGAGCAAACUAUAGUUGCUAACAAAAUUCUACACUAUCGAACUAUGGGUUUUGGAGGUGCCCUCCCCCCUUUUUAUGCUACUUGAUGAGCAAGCUUCAGCAAGAAGCUAUCGUUGAAUCGGCUUAGGUUUAUGAGGAUAUCGUUGAUGCAAUUCUUGUACCUUUUUUGGUACAUUGGCAAGAUUUUCGGCACGCUCCCACGUUCGUUCAUUCAUGUCGUAUCCACUCCAAUGCACUAAAUACUCCAAUUUUCUCCUAUUACGUCGUGAAUCUAGUACCUUUUCCACCUCGUAUUCCUCAUGGUUUUCAAUUUCGAUACUUGGUGGCAGACUUUGUACUCUUUGGGGAAAAGCUGACUCUCGAUAAGGUUCCAACAAAGACACGUGAAAGACUGGAUGUACCUUCAUAGUAGCUGGUAACUCCAGACGAUAUGCCACCGGAUUGAUCUGCUUCUCGAUAACAAAUGGCCCUAAUCUCCGAUAGUCCAAUUUGUCACAUGGCCGCUUGGUCUUGAUAUUCCGUCGAAGAAGCCAUACUUUACUUCCAACUUUAAAAGUAGGCGCCUCAUUUCGAUAUUUAUCUGCAGAUGCCUUGUAACUCUCUUGGGCAGAUUGCAAUUGAAGCUUCAACGUCGCUUGAAGCUCCGAUAGUUGCUUCACAAAUCCUUCAGCUGCUGGGUUGUUAUUUGCUGAAGAACUCAAUAAAUCGAGCUUGGGGUGGUAUCCGUAGUUGGAGAAGAAUGGUGUUUGUUGAGUUGACGCAUGAAGAGUGUUGUUGUAUGCGAACUCAGCAAGCGGUAGAUAUACAAUCCAAUCAUCUUGUUGAUAGUUGAUGCUGCAUCGUAAAUAUUGCUCCAAAACUUGAUUCACCCGCUCCGUUUGACCGUCAGUUUGAGGAUGAAAAGCCGAAGAGAGCUUAAUAUCCACCUUCAAUAUCUCAAAGAGGGACCUCCAAAACUUGGAUACAAACUGAGUACCUCGAUUCGACACGAUAUCAUCUGGUAGGCCAUGAUAACGAUAUAUGUUAUCAAGAAAGAGUCUUGCGGUGUCUUCACUUGACGAUGUUUUCUUGCAAGGCACGAAAUGCGCCAUCUUUGUAAAUCGAUCUACCACAACAAAGAUGCUGUCAAAUGAAUUCGAUGGCGGUAGGUCCGUAAUGAAGUCCAUAGAAACUGAAGACCAUGGUCGGUGCGGAAUAGGCAAUGGCUGGAGAAGUCCAUACGAACGAUGUCGAGGGAUCUUGGAUCUUGAACAAACAUCACAAGAAAGGACAAAUUCCUUCACAUCCUUCCACAUUUGGGGCCACCAAAAAUCUCGUGAAAUGAGCUCCAAAGUCUUGUUGAAUCCAAAAUGUCUCGCAGCUGGAAAGUCGUGGCGAGAUUGAAGUACUCGGAGUCGAGUUGGUCCUUUCGGGAUAUACAACCGCUCCUCAAAAUACAGAAGAUCUCCUUCUACCUUAAACUUGUCAUUAUCGACACGUUGUUUGAUGUCAAGAGCUAUAGAAUCCUCAAUGGUCGCAGUACGUACUUCGCUGAGGAAGCCGUCAUCGAUAGUUGCAACAGUAGCAAAAAUCCUGAAUUUUUCUGGUUUCAACAAUGUUGUACAUUGUUGAUCAAAUGCUGCUUCUCCAGCCUUUGGCGCAAGAUACGAUCUCCUGGAUAAUGCGUCAGAUAAUCCUUGCUGUUUUCCAGGGCGGUAGGUGAUAAUAAAGUCAAAUCGUGAUAGAGACAUAUUCCAUCGAGCUUGACGACGAUUCAAAAUUCGAGCUAUCAUGAAGUACUCCAAAUUCUUGUGGUCCGUAUAAACAGUCACUGGAUGUGCAGCUCCUUCGAGGAAGUGACGCCACUCUUGGAAGGCAUCCACUAUAGCAAGCAGCUCUUUGUCGUGGAUCUCGUAGUUGAUCUCAGCAGCAGAGAACUUCCGUGAAUAGAACGCAACUGGGUGAAGCUUCUUGUCUAUGCCCAUCUGUGAAAGCACAGCUCCCAAAGCAAAAUCUGAAGCAUCGGUCUCUAAAUAGAAAGCCUUUGCAAAGUCAGGGUGUACCAAGAUUGGAGCCGUAGUGAAUGCCGUCUUAAGAUCUUGAAAUGCUUUUGCUGCUUGUGAUCCCCAUUCGAGCUUGUCUUUGCUUGUUAGACGCGUGAGUGGUGCAGCAACUUGAGAAUAAUUCUUGAUGAAGAUCCGAUAGAAGUUAGCAAAUCCAAGAAAACACUGAACAUCUCUAACCGUCUUCGGAACUUCCCAAGAUAUAAUUGCUUCUACCUUUUUGGAUCCAUCUUCAAGCCCUCUGUAGUCGCAAUGAAGCCCAAAAAUUCCAUCUCAUUCUGGUGAAAUUGACACUUCUCCAACUUGGCGUAGAGUCCUCGUUUGCAUAGUAUUUCAAGAACCAAACAAACGUGCUUCUCAUGUUCUUCUUCAUUCUUGGAAAAUAUCAAAAUAUCAUCCAGAUAGAUAACAACAAAGUCAUCGAGGUACUCCCGAAAGAUGUCGUUCAUCAUAUGCUGAAAGACCGCUGGAGCAUUGGUAAGACCAAAAGGCAUGACAUUGUACUCAAAAGGCAUGACAUUGUACUCAAAAUGGCCAUACCUUGUACGAAAGGCUGUCUUCCAUUCAUCUCCUUCUUUGAUUCGCACAAGGUUGUAGGCUCCUCUUAAAUCAAUCUUUGUAAAAAUCCUUGCACGUCCAAGUUGAUCUAAGAGGCCGGAGAUCAAAGGUAAGGGAUAGCGAUUUUUCUUGGUCACCUUGUUGAGUCCUCGGUAGUCCACGCACAUCCGCAGUGAGCCAUCCUUUUUCUUCACGAAUAGGAUUGGUGCUCCAGCUGGUGACUUUGAAUGUCGAAUAAAAUUCUUGGCUAGAUUCUCAUCGAUGUACUUCCGUAAUUCUGCCAACUCCAUCUGCGAUAGGUUGUAUAUUGGACCAAAAGGUGGUUGCGCUCCUUCCUCUAAGUCUAUGGCGCAAUCAUAUGGUCGAUGUUCCGGCAGUAUAUCGGCGUUCUUCUUCUGAAACACGUCUUCAAAAUCCCUAUAUUGCUCUGGUAUAUUUGAUGUUGACAUAUUCUCGCCGCUAGUUGGAGCUGCAUAAAUGACAAAUGGUGCGCCUUCCUUGGACAAUCUUAGGAACGCUCUCGCUCCAAUAAACAUGGAUUUCUUCAUGUAGGUUCUACCAACAGGUUUAUUAUUAUUUUUUUCAGGAAAUGUUAUCCUUCGUAGCCUCCAAUCAAUGGACGGAUUAUGAUCUUCUAACCAAGAAAGACCAAGGAUAACAGGGCUUGAUGGGGUUCUAAUAAUAUUAAAAAUAACGUGACUACUAUGGUCCUUAAACACCACUUCUAUAGGUUCUGAUUCGUGGGUAACGUUGCCUGACAAUAAGGGUCGUCCAUCUAUCACCUCUACGUGAACAGGUUUGGACUUCUGUACUAAACGGAUCUUGUGGCGUUUAGCAAACUCUUCAUCUAAAAAACAAGUAGAUGCCUCCGAAUCCAAUAAAGCUAAAGUUUUUUGUUUUUGAGGGCCUAAAAACAAAGGAAUUGUAAAACAACAUGCAGGUUGGACAGAGAAGGAGGAACCUGAUUGUUGUCGUGAUAUUAGAUUGUCCAGCCGCACGGUUCCUACUGUUGCUGGGCGUCGUCGUUUUCCGAAAUCAUCGCACUUCUAGUCUUGACAGGGUGCCAAUUUUGCUUCUUUGGACAAUUUCCAACCUUGUGAUCUUCUUCUCCACAGUACAAACAUAACCCUUCCUCCAUACGCCGUUUCUUCUCUGUUGGAGUAAGAGAUCAGACACGCGCCGUGUCGAUUUGCAUGUCUGUUGCCUCCGAAUGUGAGUUUAAGCUAUUUGCAGACAUAGUCACGUAGUAACGAGUCAUUUGGUAUCUUGGACAUUGGUCUUGGCGACGCUGGAAUAGGCGGUUGUCACACUUUACAGCUUGGCUAAUAGCUUCGUUGAGCGUUUGAGGAUCAGGAAGAGAUAACAGCAAGUCCUUCACAUCAUCCUUCAAGCCCCAAUAAAACUCACUCACCAACGCCUCUUCACCCCAAUUAAUGUCACUUGCCAAUUGUCUGAAAUCCGAGGCAUAGACUGAUGCAGAGCGUGUUCCUUGUCGUAGUGAUCGGAUCUUUGUUGUAGCCCAUCGAACUUUAUCAUGCUCGCCAAAUGCUUCUGCAAACGCCUCCAAGAACGUUUCAAAGUUGCUCAGGAUUGGCGAUCGCUUCUCGAACAAGGGAGUAAACCAAGACAGAGCUUGUGCUGUAAGCAAGGUUCCAACAAGCCCAACACGCGCUUCCUCCGUCGGAUAACGUUCGGGCUGUAAAAUUGUUAUCAACCUGAUUUGGUUGACAAAACCUCGAAACUUGGAACGAGUUCCAUCAAACUUAUCCGGAAGACUAACUCGAGGCUCCUUUUGUUGUAGGACUACUCGAUCUUGUUGAAAUGGAGGUAGAACUGCUUCUUCUGGCGCAGAAGUUUGAGGUUGAUAUGCUUUAGAUGGCGCUAUCUCAGAUGCUCCAUUGUUAUGGAGUCCUACCAUGACUCCUUCGAUCUCUGUUGUCCUAUGUGACAACGAGGCAAGAGCAUUUAUGAUGGCUUCUAGUUUGGAUUCCAAACUUUCGGCCAUUUUAACGUCUUAACCUUCGGCUAACCUUCAGAAAGAAGAAAAAAGAGUUUUGACAAGAGGACAAUAUUGGUUUAGAGGAGAGUACUCCGCAACCUCUAAAACGCCUUAAGACUCCAAGAUGAGGGGUAAUCCACUCUCUCCAAGAAGAAUAAGGCUCCAAUAUUGAGAAAGAAGAGAUAUCAGUUUAGAAGAGGGUAAUCCGCAACCUCUAAAACACUAGCACACCUUCAAGAAGAGGGGUAAUCCACUCUCUAACAAGAAGGAACUAGCUCUGAUACCAGUGAAAAUGUAGUCUCGACAAACUGUCACGGACACAAAAUACAGACUUGAAAUCUAACAAGAAGUUCAAGAAGAAGUGGCAGAACUAGAUUAAACAGAUGAGUACAAGAACAACACCAGAAAGGUGAGCUAGAACUCCAAGAGAUGUGUUGUCGAGACUGAAGAACCCUUCAGCCUCGACUCCUAUAUAUACUACUGAAUAGGAAGCUUCUCGAGCUACUUUCGCUAACUAGGACGCUUCUCCAACAACUUCUACUAAUUAGGAAACUUCUCGAGCAACUUUCUAGAAUCUAUCAGAAUAUUCUAGAACCUUCUAAGAAUAUUCUAGAACCUUCUAAGAGAAUCUUUAGGGAAUAUUCUAAGAAUCUUCUAGAACCUUCUAGAGGAAUCUUUAGAGAAUCUUUAGAGAAUAUUCUAGAAGAAUAUUCGAAGAAUCUUCCAAUGUAUGUCCAUGACACAUAUUCCUUAGAACUUUCUAGAGAGAAGUUUCUAUAACUUUCUAGAAAAUAAGCCUCUGGAACCUUCUAGAAGAGAAGUCUCUGGAACUUUUUAGAGAGAAGUUUCUAGAAGCUUCUAGAAAGGAAGUCUCUGGAACCUUCUAGAAGAGAAGUUUCUAGAAGCUUCUAGAAAAGAAUCCCCUGGAACUUUCUAGAAGCUUCCUAGUUAAUAGAAGUAGCUCGAGAAGCUUCCUAAGGAGGAGUAUAUAUAGGGAUCGAGGCUGAAGAGUUCUUCAGUCUCGACAACACAUCUCUUGGAGUUCUAGCUCACCUUUCUGGUGUUGUUCUUGUACUCAUCUGUUUAAUCUAGUUCUGCCACUUCUUCUUGAACUUCUUGUUAGAUUUCAAGUUUGUAUUUUGUGUCCAUGACACAGUGUCAUAUUGUAGUUUGGCUACCAUGUGAAAAUAAUGUGAUUAUGUAUUUAAUGUAUAAUUUACUUAACAACAUGAUGAGAGCCAUGUUACUGGAUUUUAGUUGGUUGUAGAAUGUGAUUAAAUUACUACUUUAAAAGGAGGUUAUUUAAAAGGAUUAUUAUUAAAAUCUAUAUAACUAUAAUUUCUUUUCAUAUUGGCUUUUAAGAUUGAGUUUGGUUGAUAGUAACUUCUAAAUAUUUAGAAUCACUUUUGUUAGACAUUGGUAAUCUUUGAAAAUUUAUUUUGGUUCUUUUAUUUGGUGUUUGGAGCAUAAAUUAUAUAAAUCUUAUAAGAAAAAGGGUUGAAGAAGGGUUUUAGUAGCAAAGGGAGUAAUUAGGGCACCAAUAUAGAUGAAUGGAGAUAGAUGAUGAAAAUCUCUAUUCCUAUUGGUCAAAAAUCAUGACCAAUAAGCUUUGAAGAGGCUGCCUGAGGCCAUAUUAGAGAUUAGGGUUAGUUUUUUGGAGCCAUUUGAGCUUUGAAGACUAUGAUCAGUAAAUUUAGGUUUUUGGCAAUGGUUUUGGUGCAAAUCUUGUAUGAUUUGGAGUUUAAAUGAAGGAAAUAUAGGUGCUCAAAGUUAAGGUGUUGAUUUGAGAGCUACUGUCACUCUUUUCAAUAUAACACAAGCAUAUGGAAGGCAAUUGAGGAUCGGCAAUUGCAACUAAAGAGAGCACUUUUGCGGUUAUAUUUUUUAUAUGCUAGUUACUGGAUUCCAAGUUAAGAUGAAGGAGAUAUUGAAUUUUGAAGUCAAUGCAUGAAAUCUAAGGAUAGUAAGUGACCUGAUUUACUAGUAGUUUUAUCUUGAGCUAUAUCUUGAGCAAUUUGAUAAAGUUUUGGCUCAAAUUUUCAGAAAAUGUGUAUAUUCAUGUUAAUAAACUUUAUACAUAAGUUUAAUGGCAUUUGAAUAUUGGAUUUUUCAGAUAUUAAGAAAAUAGUACUCAGAUGCUUGCAAUUUAAGGUUAGAGUAUCUGCUAGGAUUUCUUAGAUGUCAAAAGAUCGGAAGUGAAUUUGUGGUUGGAUUUUUUUUUGUAGUAAAACUUAAGGAUAAAUUCUACCUACUUUAUAAAUUUGAAAUAAAUUGAAUGGUUAGAUCAAGAAUUAUGAAUUUUUAAAGUUCAAGAAGAAAAAACCCUUCACGGAAAAAAUAUGUUUUGAAGGGAUUUUGCUAUAUUUUGAAUUUUAUGCAAAUUAAAGAAGUUUUGAAAGCUAAGACAAGAUACAUAUAAAAGUUUAAGCUAAAUUCUCUAUAGCUAGAUAUCUAGUGUAUUCCUAGAUAGCAAAUCAUGUGAUACGACAAUGGAUCUUUGAAUCUCAAGUUCUUAUAAAUCUAUAUUCGUGAUAGUAGAUUAUUUUACUAAGAUGGCACAUUUUGUAUUAUGUACAAAAUCUAUCAUAAGUAAAGAAAUAGCUAAACUCUUUCUUAACAACAUCUAUCACUAUCAUAGAUUAUCCAAGGAUAUCAUAUCAAAUAGAGGAACUCAAUUUGUAUCAAGAUUUUGGCAGACUCUUUUCAAGAUUCUAAAAGUAGAUAUAAAACUAUCUUUGGCAUUCCAUCUUCAAACUAAUGGACAAACAAAGCGUGUUAAUCAAGUUUUGGAGUAGUAUUUAAGAUGUACCAUCAACUACUAACAAGAUGAUUGGACAACUCUUUUGCCAUUGGUAAAGUUUAUCAAUAAUAAUACAAUACAUUCUUCUACAAAACAAACACCUUGCUUUGCCAAUUAUGGUUAUCAUCCAUGACUUAAUACUUUUGACUUUUCAAAAGCUGAUAAUCUUGCUGCGAAAGAUUUGACAAAUCGUUUGUGAGAUCUAUAUGUAAUAAUGAAGGUAUAGUUAAAAAAAGCUAAAGACCAACAAAAGAUCAAUACAGAUGUCUAUCAAAAGGAACAACCACCAUUCCACGUGUGUGAUAAGGUAUGAUUAUUUCAUCAAAAUAUCAAGACAACUCGUCUUUGUGACAAGUUGGACUAUCAUAGAUUUGGACCAUUUCCUAUUUCUGCACAAAUCAAUGUUGUUGCAUAUUAUUUAUACCUACCAAAAUCAAUGAAAAUCUAUCUAAUAUUCCAUGUGUCUCUUCUUGAACCAUACAAGAUAGUAGACUUACCAAGAAGAAGACAAGUACCACCUCUUGCUAUAGAAGUGGAUAAUAAUGAAGAAUUUGAAGUAGAAGAAGUCUUAGAUUUAAGGUGACCCUAAGAUAAGUUGAAAUAUCUUAUUCAUUGGCACGGAUACAUUAUUAGUGAAUGCACAUGGGAGCUAGCAAAGAAUCUUGUAAAUGCAAUAAAGAAAGUAGAGGCUUUUCAUCAACAACAUCCAUCAAAAUUAAGAUGAAGACCUUUCUUAUAAAAUAAAUAACAUCUAGGCAAGAUAACAUUACACUUUCAAUCCUUGUUUGUAAUUUUUUUGUAUUUGUCAUGCUGAGGAGAUGGAGAACUAACAACCACUGGAUUUGAUUGAAGAGCCUUCAUUUAUUGAUCUGUUAGAUAAGACAUUGUCAUUGUCACAACCUUCAAGAUGAUCCAAUCAAGAUAAAGAUCCUCAAAAACAAUAUAUUUUUCCUCGAAUAGAUGGUGAGAUAUAACUUGUUUAGUAUCACAACCUUUGAAGAGACUUCUGAUGUUUGCUAAUUUUAUUAGAGGUAGAAACAACUCUUGAUGAUGUUUUAAAUGUUUUAUUUAAAAGAAGUUAUAAAGGCCUCAACAAUGACAAAAUAAGAGGGUGGUCUUUUUGUCUUGGUAUGGGACACUAUCGAUGGUUGAAAGGUCCUAUGAAGCAUCUUCAAAGAGAACAAAGAUCUAAGUAUGUGAUAAAUAUAAUUUGCCACAUCAUAGAUUUUUUCAACAUAUGAUAACCACUCCACAUAGAAUUCAUUUCUAAAAGAAGGGGUAAUGUCACAGACAUAUACAUGUAAGCUGAUAACUAUCUAUAUAAAUAGGUAGAAAUAGAUAGAAAUAAGUAAAAGUAAGUUAAUUCUAUAAUAUCUUCUAAAGAAGCUUCCUAAAAGCUUCAUAGACACUGAUUUAAUUUUAUAUGUAUCUAUUAAUGACUUUUAAAUUAAAAAGUUAGUCAACAAAUUAACCAUGUGCCACACAUGUUGAUAGCUUGAAGAAUAAGCUAACUAUAUAGUAUACAUAUAAAAAAAACUUGCCUUAUAAAUCAAGGCAUGUGUCCUACAAAAUCAACACAUAUUGGAAGUCCUAUAGAAUAUUGCCAUGUAGCUCCUAAUUCGAUAGUGUAUAUAGAGACAAGAGUGAAGCCUUCUUCACUCUUGUCAACUCUUUUCUUGCUUCUAGUUCAAUUUGAAGAGUCUCAAGUUUUCUUGUCUUUUGGCAAUAAGCCAUUCUAAUUUCUUUUUAAUAUGUAUACUUCUUUAUUUCUAUUUUGUCACUUUUUCUUUGAUACGGAUUUCAUUGGUUUAUGUAUUAUCUUCCAAUUCAUGUCCUUGACAAUAUGCAAUACUUUGAUCUUGCACUUACAUUAUUUUUUUGUAAGUGUCUUAAACUCUUUAAACCUUAAAAAUAUAUCUAUUUUUAGCUUUAAAGAUAUAAAUCCACAUCUUUCUAGAAAAAUCAUCAAUAAAUAUCAUAAAAUAUCUUACUCCUCUAAUUGAUGGCAUUUUCAUUGAUCAACAAAUAUUAGAAUGCAUAAUUUCUAACAAUUUGGUAGCACAUAUUGCAACUAUUCUUGAAAAUGAAGCCUUUUGUUGUUUGCCUUGAAUACAACCUUAACAAGUAAGUAUUAUGGAAUUGUGGCUAAAUUGAUCAAGAUUUAAGCCACUUACCAUAGAUUGAAUUUCUUUCAUGUUUUUGGCAUUCAAAUGAUCAAGUUGUUGAUGCCAAAUUCUAAUUUUUUCUUGAUUUUGUGGAACUUGAGUAGAUAUUAUAACUUUAACUCCAUUCACCUUCUUACAAUUGAUGAAGUAGAGGUUGCCAUCUCCUAGGCCUUUGGCAACAUGUUGUCUACUCAAUAUCUUCACAAAACAUCCAUUUAUAUCAAAUUAAACCUCACCACCAUGUGAUACAAGUUUGCUCACCGAAAUGAGGUUCUUCAACAUCUUUGGCAUAUGUAAGACUUUCUUGAAUCUAAUUCUCUUCAUUUGGUCCUUCACAAUGAUCUCUACUACAAUAGAGCCAAUUUUAAUAGCUUACACGAUACCAUUGUCUCCUAACCAAACAUUUGUUACUGAAAUUUUUUCAUAAGUGCCAAAUAGAUACUUAUAUGGUGUCAUGUACUUAGUAGUAUACGAAUCUAUAAUCCACUUGGACAUGAUAGCCAUGGAGGCUCUUUUACUUGCCAUGAAAGCAUAAUCAUCUCUACCAAAACUAUCACUUGUAUUGUUUGUAUUCUUCUUAUUUCUUUUCUUGGCUUUGUAGUAAUUUCUAAUAAAGUGACAUGGUUUUUCACAAAUAUAGUAAUUUUUCAUGUUUUUUUUUGAAUUAUCAUAUUAAUAAAAAUAGCUACUUUUGCCUUGUCUUGAAAAUAGAGUCCAAUCAUCACUUUGAAGCUUUUUUCUUUCUUCUUAAUCACUUUAUGGACAAAUCUUGAUGUGACAUAAUGCAUAAUAAGUUCCUUUAUGUUAAUAGACUCCAAUGAGGUAGUUGUAGGACUAGGAAAAGUUCAUGAGUAAUAUCAACACAAUGUCUUUAUCAUCAAUUAUCUUGUCAACAAUUACUAGUUGGUUUACAAGUACUUUUAUCUUGUUGACAUGAGCCAUGAAAUCAUCUUCUUCUUCCAUCUUUAUUGUUAAGAACUUCCUUUUUGUCUAUAGAAUGUUGGUAAGAUUUCUACUCUUACAAAUGUUGUAAAGAGUCUUUCAUGCUUUUGCUACUCCAUUCUAAGCAAUUACAUGUGAAAAGUUGGCAUCAUACAAAUUUGAUACAAUCAUGACAAAAGCCUUUCUUUCACAACAUUUGUAUUCUUUCUUCACCUUAACAUUAGCAUCAUCACUUGGAGGCUCUUCACUUUCAUCAACAAUGUCUCGAAGGUCUAAUGAAGCCAACAAAAGCUCCAUUUUCUUCUUCUAGUGGUAGAAAUUGUCAAUUUUAACUUCUCAAACCCUCACCCUUAUUUGAAGCCAUGUCUAAUAAAAAAGAUUAUCAAAUAAAAUCAAUAGAAAGAGAAGAUAGACUCACCAAAUAAAUAAGAAGGUCUUACUGCCUUAGAAACCUAAAAUGCCUCUUUUAUAAAUAAACAAGUGAUUUCACUCUUUAAUCACUCUCAACUCUCAUAAGAACACUUCUAAUCUCACAAAUAUCUUCUUAUCACUAUAAGAAAACCUCUUAAAAAAUUCAGAGCACAAAAGCACAAUACUAGUGCACCAAUGAUGUAACUCAGCAAAGAAACACAAUAAGUCGACGUCGUCUAAAGCUAGAAUUGCAUGCAUGUCCUAGAUCCAGACCUUCAUAUCAAGUAAACCUUCAAUCCGUUUCGAUCCAUACUGAGGCAGUGAGUUCAAUGCUGAAUUGAUUACUUAAUUUAAUUUGCUUUGUUGUUGAUGUACAGGUUGUGAGGACUCUCGGCGUACUUAACCAAAUUGCGUCCCGGACUUACACCCUGCUUCACGUGUGGCAGUACAAAGCCCUCCAACUCGAGUACAAGAUCGGUGACUCGCAUCUAGAGGCUGCUGCUGAGGAUGCAGGCCAUUAUGUGCUGUCGGAGUGAGCCUACUCAUCGCCUCUCCUUAUUGAAUUCAGAAUGGGCCAUGGAGCACUCGGAGAUUGGUCGUUUGUGUUUUAGUCGAUCUCGGACAACGCCUCGUUGCGAUCUGAGGUCGUAGUUUUGUCUGGAUUGGUGUUUGGUUUUGUGCAGAAUUUUCCCGACGCAACAGUCCACAAGCUUCGAUGGCCUCAUCGAUAAGCAGAUCACUCCACUGGAAUUGACAGAAGAAGAGGAUGCGGCUAUUCGCAAGAUUGGCCUCCAAUUUGCCAAAUCUCUCCUGAAAAAAAGGUAGUGAUCCCUUUCUCCUGAGGCUUACAUUGAUUUCAUUAUCCUGAAGGUUGAGAGCUUCAACGCGUUCCAAUGGAAUCACUCGUGUGCUAAAAUUUCCACCGCCGCAUUUGAGAAUGAUUGUUCAGGACACAUGACGGUAGUCAGCAGUGGAUUAAGUUCGUUCCGUCACCUGCCGGAGGUCCCACUGGAUAGUACCAAUUCACCCCAAAUCAAACGUUCGUCCUGCACCCUCAACAGGGCAAGCCUCGUCCCUUCGUCAUCAAAUCCGUUGCUAAGUUCGACACAAAUGGUGGCCCAUAUGCAAUCCCCAGCUCCAAGUACAAUACUGACUACGAGGAGAUCGCAAUCGUUGGCAACUCGAACUCGUCGUCAUUCACAGAUUUUUUCAAGGAGACGGCAAAGUUUUGGGAGGCCGGCGCAAGUAAGAGUUACAACUCCCUCUUCCACUUCAAUUUUCGCUGUCUGACGGAGACCAAUCUUAAUUGCGAUGAUUUCUUUUAAAUACUUCCAAAGUUGGGUGUGCUUCUGCUCACUAUUUCCGCCAUAAUUUGCACAGAUACAUCGACCGUAAACGUUCGUCCUGUUCUGUUGACGACAUCUUUGCAUCCUCUGAGCUUGCAGUCAAGGAGACUCCAGCCACCAGCCGAUUGUUUUCACUCCUUUCCUUCGAACCCCCCCACACCCAGAGUAUCCGAGUACACACUCGACUGCUGCAGGAUCCUGGGCGAAAGUGCUCGCCAGAUACUUGAGCGUCGGCAUCUCUCAACACAUUUCCUCCUAUUCUGUCGCUACUGAGGGGUAUCCGCUGCCAUUACGCACUUACAAUACGCUUGAAGCAGCUGCGGUGGAAGUUGGAGUGAGUAGGUCUGUUGCAUGCGUUCGAUCAAAACAUAUUUACUUGAACUCUUUUGGUCAACUUGUUUGAAUUGAUUGAAAUCAGCAUCGUGAAUUAAAAGCUUUUGGAGCAUUGAAACUUUAUGCGUGUUCCCGAGUACUUGCAGAAUCUAUGGAGGAGUCCAUUUUCGAAAAGCUGUCGAAGACGGCAUAAAACUGGGAGUCGAUGUAAGCAUUCUCUGAGCUCUUUAUGCCCUCUCAUCUCCUAGUCUUUAUGUCGAUCAUCGUGUGCUCAAUGGCAACUCUUAACCAUCGCUCACUCCACCACUGCAACCGCUCUAAACCCUCUGGAUGCUUUGCAGAUUGGCGACUACGUGUGGGAUCACUUCGAGAAAGAAUUUGGUGAUUUGUAAUCGCCAAGCUCUAUGAAUGACAUUGCCUAGUGGCGGACCCCCUAAAAGAGUAUCUUCGCUGUGCUCUUCGCUGUGCUACUAUCUUCAAGCCUUGUCAUUGUUGUUUCCAACAAUAUUACCAAUUUGAAUGCUGCAACGUCUCGGUGUCGUUGAUGUUACCCAACUUCUCACUGCAAGUGCCUGAUCGGCACCUCACCACCAGAACAUGAGGUUUGCAGUUUGCAAAGCUGGUGUCACCCGGUCUUCACAAGUGCAGAUGAAUUCGUGUUCUACGUCGACACAAGCAAGCAGUAAAAAGCGUUUCAAUGCCGGUGCUUACAAAAUGUGAUGGCUCCAGUAUGAAUGCUGUAUGAUAAGAUAUGGGAAACAUUUGCACUUGUUAUUCAACUGCGCUUUAUCGGGUAUUUACUUGAGUCUUUUUUCAGUGUCAGUUUCUUCUCCAUGUUUGUUAUUGAAGUUGAAUGUGGGUGUAAACGUAAAUUGAAAAGUGGAUGUAAAUGAGGAUCAUACUUCAUAGACCCAAAGAAUGUGUUUACUUCUAACGUUUGCCCAAGUAACAACUUCGAAGCUUGUGUAAGACUUCAUAUUUUAGAACAGCCUGUUUUGAAACAGUAACAUGUAUAUUGUUAGUGCUCAUGAAUAAAUAUCCUAUCGACCGCUGUUUCUGUAAUUUCUUUAUCUCCCUUGGUGCCAGAUUUUUAACAUAAAUUACUGUGGGAUCAGUGUUAGUGUCUAAUCCGGACAGGAGACCAAUAUCUAAUUUACUUUAAAACCUCAAGAGCACCAUAAAUUAUAUGACCUUGCGUAUGAUCUCAAAAACAUAAUAACAGGAAUAAUAAUUAAUCAGUCAUAUUUGAAUGAACCAACUUCAACCAUCAUAAGCAACAGCAAACACUUCACAUUCUUUAAAAAAAAAAAAAAAAAAAAAAAAAAAUCAUUAGUAAUCACAAGCUACCACCACAAAGCGGAUGAUAAAUGGCCAAUGGAUGGCAUUUCCAAAUCUCACGCGACCUAAUUUCAUCCAACGAUGAACGCCCCAUCGAGACCGUCCAGUUCGUUGUCCAUCGGACGGCCUCCGAAGUGCCAAUUUUUCCACUAUGAAGUUUGCGGCAAGCUCUAAGCAGGGCGCUAUUGCAGUGGCGUGAGUUCUCGCCCCCUCGCAGGCCAUGGCUGCUGCUGCUUCCACGCGACGGCUGCGAAGCCUUCGCCAUUCCCUGUUGGGCUUUGCCGCCCGGACUCUACCACCUCUCACUUCUCGGUUUCCUUCUUCGGGACCUGCUUUUUGUGCCGAGGUGGCUCACAUUGAUCAGUUGGGCUCCGCGCAGGAGGAACUCUGUUCGAAGGAUUUUGAAGUUGUUGGGUCGGUUUCCCUUGCUUUGUUGGGCCGAUCGGGUUUUUCGCUUCCGAGAGGGGCGGAUUGGCCCUGGGGUUGGAGACGUGAUACUUCAGUCGCAGAGAACGGUGUAUUUUCUCACGUUUUAGGAGUUGGUGUUCGAGGUCUCGCUGCUAAGGCCAAGAAAUCGGGUGGAAAAUCUCGUACGUGGACGUGAUCUCUCUCUCAUUUUGGUUCUUGUGUUUAUGUGGUUGUUGGGCUUGAUCCUCUUGGAGGGAAGGAUGUAAUUUCUCAAGCUCUUUUUCGACAACGUUUUUUCGAGUCGUUUCUGUUCUGAUUAAUUGUUGGCGUUAAAUGUGCUGAAUGUUCAUUCAUUGAACGAAUGGUGGGAAAAUGUAGACUCCACGAGUGAUCCCCUUAGGCGUAUUGGCUUUAGUACAUGCCAACCAGUCUGUCUAGAUCCCCACCCAGAAUUUGAUGGUCCUCAGCACUUAACACUAGUUUGGGUUUAGGGUUUAGGGUUUAGGGUUUAAGAUAUGUGUCAAUGUCUUUGCGCGUCCGGGAAAUAAUGAGAUUAAGAAAUAACAACGCUACGAAUGGUCUCCUUUUGUAAAUUAGAUCACAAGUCCUGGUGGCCAUUCUGAGGACAUUACUACCCUUUGUCUGAUGUCUUUUUACAAUACCCACAUGAGAACUAUGUAGGCUUCAAGAUUAUGUUGGUUUCUGAACUCACGAACGCUGACGAAGUGGAGACGAUGACGUUACCAUAAGGUCUCGUUCAGCAUAUUCGCCUUAUGGCCUUGCCGACUACUCUGAAAAGAUCACCUCCCAUAAUUUGAUGUCCCUUUACCGUGGAAUAACUCACUAUAAUUCGGUCACUUCUUCAAUCGCAUUGUAGAGAACAAAAUGUGAUUUAACCUACAUUAUGGAAAAGGAUAGUUUGUCGAUCGGUUCUUUUGUGAUUUCACACCUGAAUACUUUGGUAUGGACUCAGUGCGCGGGACAAUGACGAAAUUAUGAAAGGUCUCGUUCGGCAUAUUGGCUAACAAGCCAUGCUGACCAUUCUGAAAAGAUCACCACCCAUAACCUGAUGUCCCAUAUGCACGGAUAGUCUAUCUGAAGUAGCCAUGACAUGAGCCAUGAGAAAGUACGCAUGCUAGGGUAUUACCAUAGAAACUCUUAAAUACGUUCUAGUGAACGUGUGCAUACAUUCUCAUGCGUGCGCUAAGUGAUUACAUGGGUUCGCCUUUUGCAUUUAUUAAUACUUUUCUCGUAAUCUAAAGAUUUUUGUGCUUGUCCAUGCUGGUCUAGGUGGUGAUGAUGGCGGAGGUCAAGUUGUUGCAACUCCAGGACCAUCAGCCAAAGAAACAGCUUCGAGGCUGAUGGAGGCUGCCUUGAAUGCUCUGUCAGUGGAGCUCUCGAAACUUCGCACUGGCAGAGCUACUCCAGGUUAGUGUCGAUGCUUUUCGAAGUAAUGCAUGGUGCGAUGACAGUGCAGUACCUCCCAGUACAUUUUCGUGCGAGAGUCAUUGCAUUGUCGCUUCAUAGAGGAGCAUCAACCGUAUUCACUGACAAGUGAAGUGCCUUUUUUCUCUAAUUGUGAAGUAAUUAUCUAACUCAUUUAGGUCGAUUGCAGGAAUGCUAGAUCAUGUGAACGUGAUGUCUCAUGGUGUACAAACACCUCUAUCUCAUGUGGCCGCAGUUUCGGUUUCCAAUCUUGAAACAUUGACAGUAAUGCCAUAUGAUACUUCUGUGAGUUCCGGUAUUUCCGAAAUUCGCUGCUUCUAUUGGUUGUGUUGUCAAAUAUUGCUGGACCUAAGUGACGUUGAAUUCUUUGCUGGACCUGAGUAUGCAGCCUUGUGUUGCCUGUCUGAUCUUGUAUUUGUCAUGUGUGGCUGAACAGAUGGUCAAAGAAGUUGAGAAAGCUAUUCGAAAUUCUCCACUCAAACUAAACCCCAUGGCGGAAGGGGAAGUCCUGAGGGUUCCUAUCCCUAAGUAAGGAGAAUGACUUUGAAUGUUCCUUUGUUUGCGUUUAAAUUAACAUGUACAUGUACGUAAAGAGUGUUAUAAUGUUGAUUAGAUUACGUAAACUUGCUUGGAUGAUUGUAUCAUGAAGUUUUCAGUACCGAGAUUCUCUGUCUACUUUUAGAUAAAAACGUAAUUUUACGAAUGUCGCCAAUGUUGUCGGCUUACGUGCUUGAGAUUUCGUAGCGUUCCGUCCAGACUGUCCAAUCAUGUGAAAUGAAUUAGCUGAGUGUCGAUUCGUUUUCCUGUAUUUGUGGAGUAGGUUUAUAGCGCUGUAAGAUCAAGCUAGGUCAGUAUUCGAAGUUUACGAGUCAUACUUCAUGUGAUAGCAGGGGCGUGAUCCUGACUCAGUUGUGAUGGGUGUCGAUGCGGUGGGUUGACUUUGAAACUGGUAAUCCUUCAGGCUAACAAAGGAGCAUAUACAGGUAGGAUUCUCAGCCCCGUAGUAUAUGUUUAGUAGCAGCAUACGUUUGGGUAUUGAAAAUGACACACCAUAGAUGUUUGACCACCGAUUUCAGUCAUUUAUUCUUGAUUAUGAUUAUGGUUCUUGCAGACCAUGAGUAAACUUGUAGGGAAAGCUGGUGAAACCGCGAAGCUUAGUGUGCGUAGAGCACGCAAAGACGUAAGUUUACUUCUUCUUUUUUUCACUUGGUUAAAACUAUGUGUUUAAAGUUGCUUUUGGUGUCGUACAUGAGACUGUCGAGUUGCGGAGGAUUGAAAUGUUGAAAUGUUCUGUUAUUUCAGGCUAUGGAUAUCAUCUCAAAAGGUGGAUACUCCAAGGAUGAAGUGAAAAGAUUCGAGAAAGAGGUGAGUAUUGAUACCAUUUAUCGUCUCGUGUCAAUUUUUCACCCGUUUUAUGAUAUCAUUAUGAUAAAAACAUUUUUUGUGGAUGAUGGUAAUACCGAAUGACGUGAGGAUCUCUAGACACCUCUGGUAUCAGAGUUAGAACGAUGACGGGACAACGAAAACCGUCCUUCGGCAGAUUGGAUAAAUAGCCACGCUGGUCAUUCUAACCUGAUUACCACCGGUGAUCUCAUGCCCGGAUGAUAGUCAACGCUUUACGGUUUUGUUAAAAGUUGACCUAAUUACCGUUCAGCUUUUGUCAGUGGCUGUAUCUCAUCCUUGCCCAUGACUUCGGGUGUUAUUGCAGGUAGAAGAUGUGACGAAGAAGUACGUGAAGUCAGUCGAGGAAGCCUGCAAGUCCAAAGAGAAGGAAAUCCUGGGUAACAGCUAGGUCUGGCUUAUCUUUUCAUUAAGAAAUCAGGGGAUGGGUCUGAUGUGUGGAAAUCAGGACCAAAUGUCUCCGACUUCGACAAUAGCGAUCCAUGGCCUAGCUAGAGAUGAGUUACGAAGCAGAUGCAUAGGGCAUUCUUAAUGUCCUAGCUUUUCCUCAUUCGGAACUACAGUGGUCAGAUCAGGAUGCUUAACACUUGCCUUGUUACGUGAAAUCAUCUCAUUUCUGAGCUAAGGUUAUCAUAUUUUAAGCCAACGAUUCAUUAGCCAGACUUUCGUUAGGAUUUGCAGCUGUUGGGUACACAAAGCGAAUAGGCUGCAAGUGUUAGAAGCAUGUUGUCGUUUCUAAUCGUGAAGUGUUUUACUUUAAUUUACCGAUCAGAUUUGUUGUCCAUGAACUGCGACUUCAGCAUGGAAACAAAUAAGAAACUGACGUUGUGGAACUGUUGCUUUGAGUUGAAAGGAUACAAUCAUUUCCCCAUUGGCUGUGAGGUUCCGCCUCAUCGAAUAAAGUUGCAACAUACAUGUGUACCCCAAUGAAAGACUCAGCAUUCUUUGAAGCUGUGCUUCUUCUCAAUGUUCUCUUACAAUGCUCCAAGUGUUAGUGCCUCAUGGGCUCUCACCAUGUCAAACCACGUCAUCAAGUCGUGAAGAUUCUGUGUGGUAAACGCUUGGGAAAGGCUGCUUUGGUUCCUUGAUUCUCGUGCCAACGGCCAAAGCCCAUUCAUGUUUUUUGUAAUGUUCCACUGAACUUGUUCCUAGGAUUCCAAGGUCACCAUCUGCAUCAUUCUACAACUUCAAUCAGAUGCUGUAAACUAUUUUAGGAAAUGGUCUCGUUCACCUUGCUUGGUUUCCACAAUAUUAUACAUGCUCGCAUACAAACAAAGGUGAUUGUUCUGACUUGAUAAUGAUGAAAUACUCUGUUUUGCCUAAAUGAUGCUGUUGUUCACAGUAUUUCACUUUUCUGAAGUAUUCUUGAACUUAUGAUUAUUCUAACUCAAUUCCGAAAAAGGUUUCAACUAAUUGACAAUAUGAAUUUAUCUCACUCACCCACACACACAUAGACACUGGCUUUGUUAAUAUUUCAAUGAUUUGAAAUUUCUGGUUUCAAAAUGCAACUAGCUAUUUACUCCAUGGCUUGGUCUAUAUUAGUGUGAUUGUAUUUUUAUAAUUUUAGUGAGACUCUUAAAUUUCAUUGUACUUGAAAUUGAUGCAAUAAUAGUAUAUAUUCAUUGAAUAAUGCAUUUAGUUUUCUGAACUGAAUUCUAGUGUACUUUCAUUUUUUCUUUACAGGUUGCUUUUGACAACGUUCUCUUUGAUAUGAAUUUGAUUAGAGCGAAGGAGAAAUCUUAGUUUACAUUACAUGUAUAUCAAUAUAUUAGAUAAUUAAGUGAUUAAAAAAAAGUCAUUUUUUUUGUCUUCUUGAAACCUUGUUGCUUCCCCUAAUAGUGACUGCUUGCACAAUUCUCUUACAAAUAUCAAACUGAAUAAAUAUAUAUAUUAAGGAAUAACCAAUGUUAGUUAAUUUUUAUAGCUAAUAUAUAUAUUAAUAUAAAUGUAUAUUUUCAUUUUAAGGUAUGUGUUGUAAAAUACGAAAAUCUUUUACCAAAAAAAAAACAAAAUUAAAUAAAUAGAAAGAAGAGGCCUAAUUGAUGUAUUUGUGAUAUUUGCAAUAUUUAAUAAAACCUUAUCAAAUCUGCUAAAAUUUUAAAUUGCCCAGAUGAAGACAACAUGUUUAAAGUAAAGAAAACGUAAUUCAUAAAUGGAAUCCUUCUUUUUAAGUUCUUUUUUGCUUUGAAGUUAAAAGUUUCAGUAGCUUUUAAUAUUCAAGCCAUUUUUCAAUGUAAAACUUUAUGUUAUCCAUGUUUGUUGUUGGAAGUCUUUUAAUUUAUAAUUAAUGUAGUUAUUGUAUUUUGUGGAGGCCACUAUACUUAGUUAGUAUUUUUUUUUUUUUUUUUUUUUUUUUUUUGUAGAAUAACCAAAUUUGUGCAGCGAAGUAUUUAAUUGCAUCCUCUGCUCAUACAAUAGGCAAUUAAUUUUCAGGCAAAUCCUUGAAAACUUGGAUUAUAAAAAGCAACACUUUUGAAAAAUAAUAAUUACAACAUUGACUUUUGAGAGUUGUUUAACUUAUUGAACUACCACUUUUGUUAUUAUUUACUCAGAUUUUUCUUUUAAUAAUAUUAUUAUAAUUAUUAUUCCUUUUCUAAGAAAAUAAUAUGAAGAAGUUGAUAUAUAUAUAUAUAUAUAUAAUUAUUCAUAACAAUUCAAAAAUUCAAGCCAAAACAUAAUGUACUUAAAUUGUUCAUAGAAUGAAGAGAAAUUCAUUCUUUUGUUUUAUUUUUAAUAUUUAUGUAGUAAUAUAUAUUGAAUAAUAUUACAAACAAAAAAAUCUUUUGUUUGAUUUCAACAUGAAAAGCAAAAAAAAAUAAAAACGUACAGAUCAAAUAUCUACACACUUGAGAAUAUGCAAUUAUAAUGUAGCUUCUCCAUGUUUUCUCAUUCAAAAAAAUAGAAAAAAAAUCCUUGAUAUCCAUUAACUUUUUACAAAAAUAAUUUUAAUUAAUAAAACAUUAAUCAUCUUUUGUCUCAUUAAACUUGAUUUGCUUUAUUUCAAAAAAAAUUGAACUAAGAAUUCAUACUAAAAAUGUGAAAUCUUACCACUUUAAAACUAUCAAUCACACAUCAGUGUCCAAAAGAAAUUACACAUGUAGUAAAUUAAAAAUAAAGUAAAACUUAUACAAUCAAGAUCAAUGUAUGGGUGUUAGCAUUGCAAACAUUAUCAUACACACAAUAUCCUACACACACAUGUGCAACAUGAGGAAUGAAACCUCCACACAUCCAAACAGCCCACAACUUUCUUCACAAAUGAAAAUUGAAUUCAAACUAAAAAGUAGUCACACUAAAUUCCAAUUUACUGUAUCCAAUACAAAGACAUGCACACACACAUGGCAUUCAGUAGACUCCAAUGCUGUACUUCAUCAAUAAAUGCAACUGAGAUGCAUCAUUUUAAAACAUAGUGAAAAAAAAAGAAAAAAAAAGAGAGAAAAAAAACUAAUCCACGAUAUUAAGAAUGCAUGGAUAAUGUGGAAUUGGGAGUGGGAACGAGAGCCUGUCACCACCGAAAGUGAGCAAAAGCAAAGAGAGGAAUUGAUUGAAGAGAACAGACGGUCAUAGGGGGGGAGUGGGGAUAGGGGGCAGCAGCAGAAGGGGUCAAGUAGCAAGUUAAGAGCACGGGGCCACGAGGGCUGCCUUGUCAGCAGAACUUUGUCCACGUGGACAUGGAGUAGGUGGAAGGUCACAUGGUCGGCCUGUCCGGUCAGCCUUUCCAGGUGUACACCUGUCCCACGCGCGUCCACGUGGGAUUAUUUUGGCCGUCCCAUGAAAAUAAAUAUUGACCCACUCCAAUGCAUUGGACCGUUCCCAAUAACCGGAACUUUAACUUUCUAUUUAUAAUUUUGUGUUUCUCUUUAAAGUAUAAAUUUAAGAUUUUGAAGUAACAUGAAAGAGGGAUUCCUUCAAUACUUUUGGUCGCAAGAUUAUUUAACUCAAAUUUUUAGCACAAUUUUCGAGUGGGUUUUGAAUUACCACCUCUUGAUCAUGGUAUAUGAUGAAAAUGAAUAACUAAAUAAAAUGAUGUAUUAAUUAGCAUUGGAUUGUGUUUAUAAGGAAGACAUAUUACACGGUUGUUGUCAACCGAAUUUUUAUGUUACAUGAAUUUUCGACUUGAAUGGUUUUUGCACUUUAAAUAUCAUGUUCUUGUAAUUAAAGAUUUUUUAAUUUUAGUUAAAUUUAAAUUUAAAUUUCUUUUUUUUACUUCUAACUCAAUAUUACAUUCUUGGUCUAUGCAUGGUAUUGCUAAUGCCAUCACAAUUAUUGCUCCUCUCACUACAACCCUAUGAAAAUUAUGGUCAAAAUUUAAUUAAAAUUGUAUUUUUGUCACUUCCACCACAACCAUUUUCAUCAUUGUUUGAUAUGUAUAUUGGGAAUAUUAACAAAAAAAUUGAUUGAAAAAAAAAACUAAAUAAAUAUGUCAAUUGGGUGGCAGUAGCAAAAACUGUGAUAGCAUUAGCAAUAUCCUAAAUGCAGCAUGUGUUAUGGGAUAACUUUUGUAAUUUGUAUUAGAAUGUGUUAAUGUGAAAUUUACUCAAUUUGUUGUUUAUGUAUUACAUAACUCAAUAUCACAUUCUACCAUAAAUUGAUACUUACAAAAAUUGAAUCAAUUGGUUGUUUACUCAAUCAUGUUGAAAAAUUUAAUAACAUCUCUUGGAGAUUUAAUUUAGCCUCUGAUUAUUGUUAUUCCAUCCUGAAACAUUUCCCUCUUUACAAGUUAGUCACAACUCUCUCCCUUGAAAAUCAUCUCCCCUGAGUUCAAUAUAAUAAUAUAGUUGAUAAAAGUAGAAGCAAAAAUGUAGACUUGAACAAUAAAAUAAAGCACUUAUUCAUGUUCUUUGUCUGUCUAUUUAUUCGUUUUCUUAUACAGAAUAUCUAUACAUUUUACAUUUGAAAAAUAAGAAUACUAACAACAUUAAGAACGUGAAAUAGUUUUUAAGUUCAUUUUGGUUUGGUUCAUUCAAAUGUUACUUGAAAUUCAGAUACUUCAAAAUGAAAUAAAAGUGAAAAAUAUACAUACCAAGUUUAUAUAUUUCAUUUUUGAUACAUCCGUUUGUAUUACUCAACAACAAAGAAAAGAUAUAUACAGUUAUCUAAAAUACAUGAUUAUGCAAUUAAAUAUCCAAGAAAAAGGCAUUCUUUUUGAGUGAACAAAGCUCAAAUUUUAAUUAAUGCAGAAAAUUCAAUAAAUCGUUGUUUAAACACAACAGUAUAAACAAAAAAAAUUACAAAAAUGUAAACUUAUUAAAUGUAAACUACCCUAAUGCAAAUAUCUAAUCUUAUUAAAAUUUAUUUGUCCUAACAAUAAACCAAUCAUACAUAUGCCUUCGACAAAGGAAAUUUGUAAGCAAACAAACAGCUUUUCACUCGUGCACAAUGAUAGAGGCUGUAAAUAAAAAAAAAUAAAAAAUAAACAUAUAUGUAUAUAUAUAUAUAAUUCUACAAGUCUGAAGAAUUGUGUGCCAUGAAGGGCUGACGUGGAAGGGACUGCACAGCUGGCAAGGGCGAGGAACGGACUCCAAUGAAAUGAGCUUCAACCAAGUGUCAGCAAUUUAGAGCACACUACUCCCUAAAGGAUGAUUCCAUCCCAUUCAUCCAUCCAUUCAUUUGUGGCAUUAUCAUCCGUCCAAUUUUAGAGCCAGGAAUGUCCUGCUUUUGUUUUGUUUUGUGUUUUAGUGGCUGCAUUCACACAGCAACCCACUCCGGCAUCCACUUUCCCCCUGUGCCCGUGCGCUUCACACCCCCUGAUUCUUCGUCUUUUACUUUCCCUUUUUCUGCUGAUUUCUCCUUUUCCUUUUCAAUUUUUCUAGUUGCUUUUUAUAUUUUUUAUGGGCAGGUGGGGAGGGGGCGCAAGGUUACAAAAUGAUACACUGGACUUGCUUGCACUGUAGGGGGGGCGGCAAAAGGCAUCCUAGGGGCCGGCUGGGUGGCUGCAGCACCACUAUAGCUUUUUACUGUGCAGUCUGUCUGUCUGUCUGUCUGUGCGUGUGUCUUCAGAAGAGUUAAGUUAUUCAACCCCAGUUUUUAUUUGCAAGUUUGUGUGUGAAGCCAUCUCCAAAAGUCAUGUAUACUAUUGCCACAAUAGUGUGGCCACACAAAGUGCGAGGAAACCUGAAGUAACUUACAAUGGUGGCAAGGUUGAAUCUCCUGGUGCGUCAUGCUCACAGCCAGCCACACAGGACAUUUGGUGGCAUUAAUUCAAUCUCUUUGUGUAUGACACUGUUAUGGCUAUUGGGUAGUACCGUGGUUGAUUUGUUUUUAUCUCGUGUUAAUGCAGCUUUUGAGUCACUUUGGAUUAUGCUUAAACCAGAGCCACACACAAACUCUUUUUCGUAAUAAAGCUUUCUACACUCCUCGAGGCAGUUACAACAACCAUGCAUUUCCGUUGUUGGUUUUAGUUACCCAGUUCUUCAAGUUUUAACUUCGUAAUGACAUUACUUAUCAACUGUAUAUUGUAUAUGAGCAAGGAUGGAUUUCCUGCAAAGAAAUAUAUAAAUGAAUAUAAAUAUAUAUAUAAAUAUGUAUAUAAAUAUAUAUAAAUAUAAAUAAAUAUAUAUAUAUGUUGAAAAAAUAACGGAAAACUUUCUGAAGCGCGGUGAUAGUUAGUAAGUUAGUUAGUUAGUUAGUUUGGUUUUGUUUUGUUUUACUCCUGGUUGCAGGAGCCUGGGAAAAUUGUUGGCGACUGCAGCGAGAGAGCUCUUGAAGGUCUGGCACUUAACCUACGAGUGACGCUGGGCACAUGGGGGAGGGGGGGACAGUUUUAAUUAAUUAAUUAAUAAUUAGUUUUCCUUUUAUAACAAGGGAUGAAAUAUACGCUGUCGGACCUCACUGGGAAGUUGUCACGCGGCCACCUGUGGAUGGGAACGAAGCCUUUUUUAUUUAUAUUUUUUUAGUUGUAGCAUUUAACUGUAGCAUCUUCUGUGGGAGCAUCAUCCUCCGGGUUUGUAUAAGAGCUCCUUCACUGCACCCCAAUACGCAUUCCAUUGCACCAUUCCUGUUGUCGCAGUGUCUGUGCAGCUCUUCCGGUGUUGCUAGCUAGCUAGCUCUACUCACACUCUGGGUUAUUGUUGUGUUUUUUUUAGUGUGUGUGUAACCAUCCACUAGUAACCAUGGUGAAAUUGGCAUUCGGCGAGUCUGAUGAAGCCUCCAGCCCCGAUGCGUUGAAGGGGGCGUUGGCGGAGUUCAUCUCCUUGUUCCUGUUUGUGUUCAUCGGAGUGGGAUCGGUGAUGUCCUAUGAGAAGAUUCACGUCGGUGACUUGGAAGCUGGUGGUCUGCUCAUGAUCGCCAUCGCUCACGGUCUUGCUAUUGCGAUCCUGGUGGCUGCCACUGCGAACAUCAGCGGAGGGCAUGUCAACCCCGCUGUUUCUCUCGGUCUUGCUCUUGCCGGAAAGAUCACCGUCAUUCGCCUCGUCCUUUACUGGGUUGCCCAGCUCUUGGGCGCUGUCGCUGGUAUGAAUGCACGUCCCUGUUUUUGUCUAUUAUUCUACCCGGUUUUGUUUUUCGGCGCCCAGUUGUCCUUCACUCUUAUUACGAGCUCCCUGUGUACAAGCAUUGACCUCAGCAUUCUUAACAAUGCCACAUCAGAGGAAGUGACCUCCCUGAUAUAUUGAUCUAAUCAAUUGUGCCUAUCCGAAGCUUUUACUACAUGUUGCUGCAAUUUAUCAUCGACUAUCAGUCAUGAAAGAACCACAUGAUCGAUCACUUCUCUGGUCGCUCUGUUUCCUAGGAUGUUUCACAAGCCGACCGCGAAGCUUGUGCUUGAUACAGAAGUCCAUAGGUUGUUAUGUGCAUUGUGUACAACCGAAAUUGUUGGGGGCUCACUCAGCGGCUAACAAGUGUGAGAUGUGGUUUUGCAAUGCGCAGGCGCAUGGGUUCUGAAAAUGGUCACCACGGGAGAAGACGUCGCCCGCCACGCUAUCGGAGUGGGCAUGUCUCCCAUGUCUGCGGUGCUGAUGGAGAUCGUGCUCACCUUCACGCUUGUGUUCGUGGUGUUCGCCACCGCAGUGGACCCCAAGAAGGGUACCGUGGGAGUGAUCGCUCCCUUGGCCAUCGGCUUCACCGUUCUGGCUCAGAUCUUCGUUGGAGCUCCCUUCUCCGGCGCUUCAAUGAACCCUGGACGCUCCUUCGGCCCCGCUGUGAUCGCCAUGGACUUCACCAACCACUGGGUGUACUGGGUUGGUCCCUUCAUUGGUGCUGCCCUAGCUGCGGUUAUCUACGACGGCGUUUUCAUCUCCCCCUCUCCUCCUGCAGGCCACCAAGCCAUCCCCAGCGACUUUUAGAUCACCACGAUGACAUAUAUUCCAUCGCACGUUGCAAUGGGUCUUCUCCACCUCCAGCCUUCGUGUUUCACUCUUUGUCUGGGAGUGAAAAAUGGGAGAGAGAGAGAGAGAGAGAGAGGCAACGUCGUGAUCUGGUCAGGUUGCGAUUGAUCUGUACGAGUAAAGGUUUUUGGUGACAGUGGCGGUGAUUGCUCUUGCCGCCGAGGUGUAUGUUUCCAUUGUAUAUGUUCAUAAAUCAAGUGUAAUUGCACACACUUUUCUCCACAAUUUCGUCGACUUGCAGUACCUUCCCAUUCGCACCCUUUUUGUACAUUGACUUGCCUGCUUGUCUGCUGAUUCAAUUGCGUUUGUUCUGUGCCUAUUGUUUUUCGCUUCCAUGAUUCAGCUACUUAUGCUCAAUGCCAGGAAUUACACAAAACGCUAGUGACAUGCAUAGCUACUUCAUGAAGUAUACUCUGUUUUUGUGCAUUGUGAUUCUUAGAUAGUGAGCUUGGGUGAUUGGAGAGAAGUACAGCACAAAGCAAUUGCACAAGCAGCAUUUGCAUUGGCUGCAAUGAAUUUCAUUGCAACUGCUCCUGCAAACAGCGACUGAUUACUGAACCGUUCUCCCAUCACUGCUAGGCACGGUGACUUC
rnacentral:lncRNA from 1 species